AAACCAACAGGGAUUGCCUUAGUAACGGCGAGUGAAGCGGCAAAAGCUCAAAUUUGAAAUCUGGCACCUUCGGUGUCCGAGUUGUAAUUUGAAGAAGGUAACUUUGGAGUUGGCUCUUGUCUAUGUUCCUUGGAACAGGACGUCACAGAGGGUGAGAAUCCCGUGCGAUGAGAUGCCCAAUUCUAUGUAAAGUGCUUUCGAAGAGUCGAGUUGUUUGGGAAUGCAGCUCUAAGUGGGUGGUAAAUUCCAUCUAAAGCUAAAUAUUGGCGAGAGACCGAUAGCGAACAAGUACAGUGAUGGAAAGAUGAAAAGAACUUUGAAAAGAGAGUGAAAAAGUACGUGAAAUUGUUGAAAGGGAAGGGCUUGAGAUCAGACUUGGUAUUUUGCGAUCCUUUCCUUCUUGGUUGGGUUCUCCGCAGCUUACUGGGCCAGCAUCGGUUUGGAUGGUAGGAUAAUGAUUAAGGAAUGUGGCUCUACUUCGGUGGAGUGUUAUAGCCUUGGUUGAUACUGCCUGUCUAGACCGAGGACUG
rnacentral:rRNA from 1 species